CUGUUCAAUUGACAGAUGCGAGUGAAAAUGAUUCUUAGCUUUUAGUAUCAUGUAACAUUUCUUCAAAAUGAACUGAUUUUAAAAAUCACUAGUAAAUUAAAAUGAAAUGACCUAUUAAUUAAAUUAUUAUCAAAGGAAUGUUGUGGUUUAAAUCGUAUUAUUUCGUAGGGAUAAUGAAAAACUCAAAUAUCAGAUGAUAUAACCUGUCCCUUGAAUGAAAGGGAAUGGCAAACAGUUCUUAACGCGAAUGGAGAAGUGAAAACACUAUAAUGUAAAAAUGACGGAAGAACUUUCUGGCGUGGCAAUAGUAAUAUUUAUAGCGGCUGGUGUACUAACGAUGUUAUUAUUAUUUAUUUUCGCGAAACGUCAAAUUAUGAGAUUUGCUUUGCGAUCACGUCGUGGCCCUCAUAUUCCUAUAGGGCAUGAUGCAAGAAAGUCGCUAAAGAAGGAAAUUGAAAGGCGGAUAGAAGUAAUACCAAGAAUUCAAUAUGAACCACAGCUUAUUAGUGAUCCACGAUUCAUUGUGACUCCUCGCACUCAAAUUCCACCACAUUAUUAUAGACUGAAAGCAGUAGAUGAUAUCAGAGUUUUAGAAGCCGAGAUUACAAAGUAUGAUAGUUGUCUCAAAAGACAUCCAUCUGAAAAUCUAAGAGCUUACCUACUCUCUACAUUAGCAACUCCAUUGAAUGGAAGUGGACAACGAUUAAUUCAUCAGUUUUGUGACUUGUAUGAGCAUGCUAGACAUGAUCCAACAGAAUUUGGAGAUGAAGAGUAUCAAGUAUAUACUCGAUUGUUUCUCAAAUUAAUGGAUGCAGCCCGUUUAUUAAAAUCUUAUCCAAGUAGUAGAAAAUCUAGUCCAAGUCGUACACCUAUAAAAAAGAAUGUUGAAACAAAACGAAACAUACUAGAACCUAGGAUGAAACUGCCAGAAGAUCAUAUAUUAACUGGAUCAAGACCCAACACAUUGACAGUUAUGGCAUUGGAUAACAGUGAAACAUCUGUUUAAUAUUAUCAAAACCAUCAUAUAUAUGAAGUGUGAUUACAUGUAUUCUUUUCCAUUACAUUCCACGAACUUCCAUUGCAUACAAUUUAUAUUUAUAACUCAGUUUUAAUUGACAAAUAUUUGGUCCAUACAUCCUUAUAAUAUGGAUUAUGUCUCAAGCUAAUUAAUGAAUGAUGAAAGGGCAAAAUUGACCGGAUUUUACUGUAUACAUUAUAUAGUAGCACGUCACGUAUAUGUAUAAAUACCUGUGGCACCGCAUACUUCCACUCUUGUCUAUCGGACAGAAUUGCGAGAGCUCGAGGAAAUAAUUCAAUUCGGAUAUUCGCUGACGAGACCGACAAAUCUUGUUUCACUAAAAUGCAAUCUAUGCCGGACAAACUGAUAACAGAAACAAAUAAAACGCUGCAGUAGAAUUGUACUUUCCUACUGUGAUCUUGUACCGAUUCUAACAACAGUCUCUGAAUUUGUAUCAUAAAAUCCAAUACCCAAUUUAUAAUUGAUUUCUUAAAACGCGUUUCAGCGUGCAUUCUUUGAAUAGUUUCGAGAAAAUACGCCUGUAUGCUACGACAGAAAUAAUAAAGUACACU